GAUGAAAUCAACAUGGAUACCAUGCCCAUU
rnacentral:piRNA from 1 species